ensembl:lncRNA
CUCUUAUCACAAAUGGGAUUGCAGAAUGAUAAAAAGAUUCAUUGUUACAGUAUUUGCUCUGGACACUUCUGUUCAAAGGCAGCAGAGUUUCGACAGCUUGAAGUAAUUGCAACAUUUGCUCAAAUAUGGGAUCAUUUCUACAAUGCUUGAAUUUUGACGACAGAAUGCAUAUUCUUAUUAUGAGCAGACAGUAAAUUAUACAAUCCUAUUUCAUUUAUAGCCUGGAUAUCAUCUGAAUAUUAUUACCAGGAAACAAACACAUGUCCCAGUCACUGUGAAAAUGUUUUCUAGUGUGAAAAGAUUUUCUAAUGGAUUUUUGCAUAUUGACAGAAAUUAAUAUAAUUUGAAAUCUAUAGUGACACUAACACUGUUAUUAUCCAAAUUCAUGCUCCAUUCUAAUCCUACUGUAUAAUGACUUUAAUCCUAAUGGGCAUAAUCAUUUCUGAUGUAAAACUAGAUACAUGACAAUCACAGAAUUGAGUGAUAUUAUUAUACCAAAGAAUAGCAGCUGUUGAUUUGCCAAUAUUAACAAGUAGCAAUCUUGUGAUAACUCAUUGUUCCAACAACUAAUCAGAAGAGGAAUGAAAAUUUGGCAUUUUGGUCCUGUAAUUACAUCUUUAUGAUGCUGCAGUUGGUAAUUUGCAUGAUUUUGACUGUUGCACUUCCCAGGAAUUUUCUCUGUGUUCAGUACAAAGGCUCACGGAUGGCUUUAUGGACCAAUGUUUUUAUUGCCUGUGUAUACCUAACAGAACAAAGCAAAAUACUGAGAAGCAAAAAAAUGUAAAUAUACAGAUUAAAUAGGUAGGAUAUAAAACAAUAGUAAACCUGAAAAAAAAAAUUAGAAUUGAAGGUGCUUUACCUUAUGGCUUUGGGCCCACAUAACUAUGAAAGAAAACAAAAAACAAACAAGUCUCCUACCCCAUAUCCAUGGAGACUUCUCCUGUGUGUGUUUUCAUGAUCGUAAAACAUGUAAAAGAUGAGAGAAGGGAGAAGAGGAAUCUGUGAGGUCCAUGGAUGGGAUAAAACCACUUGCUUUCUAUUUUCUAAAUUAAAUAUAUCUAUAUUUUAUAUAGAUAUCUUUAUACAUCUGUGUGUGUGUAUAUAUAUUACAUAGAGGAAGGCAGGAAUAAGGCAAGUGGAUUUACUCUCUGGGUCCAUGACAGCUUCACGCUUAGUCCAUAUUUUUCUGCUUUCUCUAAGCUUUGUACCCUUUUCUUCACUCAGCUGCAGAUAUGAGCUGUUGCAAAGUUAUCAGAGCAGUGCAAGUGCAACAGGCAAUGCAAGCAGCAAGACACCAAAUGAAAAACCCAGAACUCCAGCAAAAACUUGUUCACACACAAUGCAAAAGUAUGAACCCGUCUGAGUCUCUCCCUUAUGAGGAAUGUAAAUAUCAAACAGAUAAAAGGGUAACUUUCCAUGAUUCAGUACUAUUUUUGUUUAUAUUCCUGGUGUCCUCGAGUUCUCAGCAAGCAGAAUUUCCACUACAGUAAGCAUUGUAACACAAAGUAAUAAACAAGCCAUUCCCUGAAAAGUUCUCAUUUUAAUUUAGAUCUGUAUACACUAAGUGGGUGUAAAAACUAGAGACAUUGUUGAGGAACAAUGAUAGGAGAGAUCAGAGAAAUGUCUCUUGGGAAUGGGUUUUAUGCUGCUUGGCCAAGAACCACAGGGCCCCAGCCUUGGCAAAUCCUCAAAUAUUACGGUAGAAGAUAAGUCGGUUUUGUAUGUCCAUAAUUAGCUGAUCUCCAGUCAUUUAAAUUUAAUCACAAAAUUAAGAUAAGAAACACAUCAACAAUUUCUGUUACUGUUCUGCAUACCACCAUAGAAAGAGUACACAGAAUAAACCACAUGAACCAUUGGGCCGGGCAAGACACCACAACCUCACCCAAAGCUGCAAUGUCAAUGACCACUGAGUAUCUUCUCAACAUCUGGCACAAGGCUGUCAUAGCUGUUAAAUUAAUAACAAAUAAACAUCUCCAUAGAUGUACACUUCUGCACAGAGAAGCUACCCAAAAAAUUGCAAGUGUAUGGAACAUUAAAGGAUAUUUUCUUUAAAUCAAUCAUAUAUCCAAGAUUUGUUUUAUAGCCAGGAUAAAACAACUUCUGGACAUUUCUUCCUUUUCCUACCUUCAUCACUUUUAAAGGCUAUAGAAUCCUUAUGAUUCAGUCAAAGAGCAGGCAAAGAUAAGGUUACUAUCAUGUUAACAUGCAAAGAUUGCAUGAAUAAGACUAGCAGACCCUACACCUACUGCAAGGGACUUAACAAAGACUUUAUAGUCCCUCAUUCAUUUAAGAGCUCAGAUCAAUACCACUGGAUCCACUUCCUGACAACUGCUAGAAAAGAUGGUACUCUAAUAUCUCAUUCUCAUCCUCCAAACUUGUCACAUGGUCCUCAUCAUGUAUAAUUAAGGAAUGGCUGGAGACCUAUAGGUAUCUAUGAUAUCCUUGCUAGGACAGUAGCAAAAUUCACAGAAACAUCCUACAGCCUUACAUACAGCUGGGAUAUUUAGAGUGACUUCAUCGUCUAUCUACCUCCCUGCAACAGCAGACUCCUGAGCAUUUAGAAGGCAACACCCAACCAUCAGUCUGCAAACCCUAAUAUAUUAACAAAUUUACAUUUUAACUUCCCUAAGUGAGUUUGUCUGACCCUAGGAAAUCAGCACUGAAAUGAUCAUGUAACCUAAACUCUUUCAUAUCCCACUACAAAGAACAGGUUCUAGGUAACUGCAGCAACAAUAGGUUGACACUAACACACACACAGGGCUAAAAGUUUUGUUAUUUUCUUUGUUCCCACCAUAAAUUCAAUAAGAACUAUUCCUUCAUCAAAGUAUAUCUGGAAUUACCCCCAUUAAAAUACAGUUCACAAAAAUCUAUUUUCUAGAGAGUAUCAGACCCAUAAUACCAUUGCAGUUCUACAAUUAGAUCAGCAUGAGAUAUGGCAGCCUACAAACUACUAUUAGUAAAAAUCUCUAGACCUACAUUAUGGAGUCAGAAAUCAUCCAGAAUAUAUGUUAAAAAUGCUAAAUAGACACCCAAACCCUGAGGCACCAUCAUACUUGCAAUGAGAACAACCAUAAGACCAAAUCUCACCAAGCUAUAACUGGUCUUUAUUCACUAGGAAUAGUCUCUGGGGAACAGCUCAUCUCUCUGAAUAAGCAGUGUUAGUAUUAUUCUAACUCCUUACAGUACAAAGUGAACACCCUACAUACAGCUAAUCCUCCCCUACCCUAGAAGUCAUUAAACAGUCAUAGCCCAUCUUCCCAGUAAUAAAAAUAAAUGCUUAUGAGCAAAAGAAACACCAGCUCCAGCAUUCUAUACCAUGCACCUCAGAACAGGGUACCCAUCCUUAAAGCUGCACAGCAGCUACCAGGGUGAGGACAGUCACAUUGCACUGGAAGAAGCUUGAUAAUGAUCAGACAUACUCAGUUAUAAGCAGGGAAGUGUUUAUCAUAAAACAAUGGCUCUAUCUAAAAUUUCUUAACCUUGAUUAUCCAGGAAGGCCCACAAUUACAUGGAGAUGUGGCAAGACUAGUUUGUAGUUAGAGGCAAUGUCCCUUGUUAAACCAACUGGUGCAGUUAGAGAGAACACAAGCUUUUGGGCAUACGAGUCCUCUUGUAUUUCUUGUCUGAAAUAGAAGCAACAGACUUCAAAGCUAAAAACAAGUUGAGAACAGUUGCUUAGAGUGUAAUUAAGACAAGUAUUUAUAAGACCAUUUCUGAAAUAAAAGGUAGUUAGAACCAGUGAAACGGAGAGGAUGUUUGCAAUGAGAGGGGGUGAAAGAAAGGGAAAGGAGGAGAGAGAUAAUAAUGUGGCUCUCCCUGAGCAGAAGAAAAGAAGCAGGUAGUUUAUAGCCCAUGAAAUGCAGAAUUAAGUUAAUGAAGGAAGUUAUAGCAUGCCAUAAAUCAAGCGUAUCUAUUAAGCCCAUGAUUCUUGGUAUCCAGUCAUGUCAGGAAUUUUAGUUCCUAUCUUCAUCUUCAAAGAGUGUGUUGUAGCUUAUCUGAUGGUCACAAUUCACACCGUGUAUUUUGAUUUAGAGUGUUAAUUCUCACUCCUUCAAGGAGCUGGACUGUAGCUACCUGUAGAUUAGGAGGGGUGAUGCCUGGGUCCAUCACUGCUGCAGCACAUCCUGAAGCCCUGGGAGUAUGUACUAGCCAGAAGAAUUGCUGCAUGCAGUACAAGCACUCAUUCUAUGGUAUAUCGUGAUUUUAUACUUCGCUGUUCCACAGGUGCUGUCCUCCUCUGUCACAGAUCACUGAGGAUAUUGCAUCUCCCUCAGCAAUACUGCAGCUCUGCUCCACAGGUGCUAGCUAUGCCUACAAGUAUUCUUACAGAGGAACAUGAAAUUAAAUUAAAACAACUGUUUCCAGAGUGCUCUUUGGCAGAAGUUUUCUGUUUCUCUUUAAGACUGUCCUUUUUAUUCUGCCAGCUAUUUUCCCUGUUCUAAUAAAAGAUACUUCCUACAAAACUUGCUAUACAAAGCUAACACAUACAUAUUUGCUAAAGCAAUUUGGAUAAAAGUACACCAUUCUACCUUCAGUUUCAGGGUGAUUGAUAUAAUAUUUCGCUAGCAAAUUUCUGAAGGCUAAAAAUGGCUUGGUGGAAAAAAAAAUAAAACCAGCAAAAACCAUAUCCCAAGAGAAAGUAUUACCUAAGCUAUACUUAAUGUAAAAAGAGAUUACAUGCUAUAGCAUCCUUUGAAUUCAGGUGCAUCUAUAUUAAGAAGUUAUUACGUUAGUACAUGGAUUUCUACUUGCAGGCUGAUGAAAGUUUCUAUGAAAAAACUUCUUUAAUCAGAAAUUAUCUUCUUAAAAGCUCUGCUUCCAAUUACAUGCUGAUAUUUGCAGAGAAUGGGCAAAUUUUAAAGGCAUACAAAAAAAUAUCCUAGCAGCAGUGAGUAAUAAAAGUAGACUCUCUAAAAUCCAAGAGCAAAUUUAGAGCUGGCAUAAAUUAAAUAUAUAUGUAAUAUAUGUUAAUAAUUCCUUCUGGAAUCAAUCUGAAUUUCACUGAUAUAUGCCAUGGUUCAUAGUUCAGCUAUAAACCAAUACAAUCUGUUUAUAUUUGCAAUUUUAGCUUUGUGAAAAUCCAAGGAGAGAUUUUUCUGGUACCCAUAAAAAUCAUGGCACUGCAUCAUUAUCUGACUGAGUUAUUCAUGUAUCAACAUAGGAAAAAUAAGGCAUAAAGCAAACAAAUACUGAGAAAAGCCCUUCUUUAAUUUCAGCAGAAAGUACAGGAGUUAUCAAUGUAAAUUAGAGCUCUUCACAGCACAGGCACACUACACUUGCUUACAGUAACCUGCACUAUAUGCAAAAGAAAGUGCUCAACUUUUAGGAAUUAUUUCUUUAUGAGUAAGUUAUGGCUCUUUUUUCCCCCCAAAGCUUUUGAAAAUUAGCAACUAUCAUUAACUCAAGCCACUGGUUUGUUUUCCUCUGCUGAAAAUUGACACUCAGUGAAGUCAUAUUGCUUCUUGAAUAAACUCGAUUCAUUCAAUGAGUGUGCUAAAAAUGACACAAAAGGCAGUACCUUUAGCA